rnacentral:rRNA from 1 species
GGAUUAGAUACCCUGGUAGUCCACGCUGUAAACGAUGUCAACUAGCCGUUGGGGAUCUUGAAUCUUUAGUGGCGCAGCUAACGCACUAAGUUGACCGCCUGGGGAGUACGGCCGCAAGGUUAAAACUCAAAUGAAUUGACGGGGGCCCGCACAAGCGGUGGAGCAUGUGGUUUAAUUCGACGCAACGCGAAGAACCUUACCUGGCCUUGACAUGUUGGGAACUUUCCAGAGAUGGAUUGGUGCCUUCGGGAACCCAAACACAGGUGCUGCAUGGCCGUCGUCAGCUCGUGCUG